UUGGGCGCGUCAAGGGGCAAAUCAGGCGAAUCCUGAUUUUCCAUAAGGUCCUAUACAAAGUUUAGUACAAGCUGAUUACCGGCAGGAGGCUGCUGAGAUCAGGUAUAUAGCGUUUCUAGUGUAUUGUUGUUAAUCAGACGAAUCAGGAUUCGUCUGAUUUGCCACUUGACGCGCCCCUUGACACUGCUGCCACUACAGUUUGUUAUCAGGACGUAAGUUGACCGCUUGGGCAGUUAUUAGAUUCUAUCAAGUGUAUAGUUGAGGUCAACGGGGCCCUUGAUGGCUUACCUUUUACCUUUAAUCUGCUGGGAAAGUAAGGAAGAAUUUGGCUGUUGGUCGUAAUAACAAGUCUUGACAUAGCUGAAGUCAUUACAGCAGGAAUGGAAGCCCUGGGUGAUUGUUUGGUGGCGCCAAAUCAAGUGGUAACAAGAAGAAUCAAUUAGACUUUCUAUUUUCUGACGAUACCAUCUAGUACUUUCGUUGGUUCUUCCUUUAAAGUUAUUCUUGUGUGUUGGAAUUUCGAGUGACUUGUUAAUAUAUCUCGAGAUGAACGCUUACAACAGUUUCGUUUUGAACACCAAUACGUUAUCCCAGCAGCGAAGCGUCGAAUGUAAUCGUCGUUGGACACAACGUCUAUGCACCAGACUUUAAGGUAUAAUAUCACUCGCUUUGUAACUAGAUAUUUACCGUUACCCUUGUUUUUGUUCCUCGGUCUGCUUUUUUCACCAUUACGAUUUUUGUGACCUUGGUAGUCAAACGAUCUAAAUCCGAUAACAAUUCAAUGUGACGUUCACAAAACUAGGAUCAAUUUCUAUUAGAAUCAUCCUUCCUCAUUGAAGAUAAUCUGCAAUCCACCAAUGCAACAUACAAUUCCACGUUUCAAAUAAUGGAUGGCAGCUGCAUUGUCUUUCUCGUUUCUUCAAGAAAAGCAUGUUUUUAGUCCUUUCGUGGUUUUAUGCUGAUGCCUUUUCGUCAAAGAUGAUGAGACAGAUCACAAAGAGAAAUCGAUCACUAAUUCAUCGACAAAGCGGCACCAUCGCUAUUGAGACUAUACAACCCCUGUUGUUUCUCUCUGUCUUCUAAAAAAAGACAGGGAUAGUUACUGGUGGAGGUUAGAGACAGCUGUUUCGAAGAAAUGCCUCUUCCAGGAAGCCAUAUUUUUCUCCAGGACGCUAUGAUUGCGACACGAGGACUAAUUCCCAUGGGAGUGAUUUGUCAAACGUUUAGCUCACAUCCCUUGGCUAAAUCAAUCGUUUCUGAUUGCUUCGCUGAUGUGCGUCGUUUUGCUCAUUGUUCAUACUUGUCUGUUGCAAGAAGGUUGCCCUAAUUUUACGUCUUCCUCUUUCAGUUGACGUCGAGUGUCAACAUCUGUUUACUUCGUUUGAAGAUCACCAUUUCAAAAAAAGAAAACAAACAUCCACCAAACGUUUCUUUGCAACAACAACCAAGAAAACAAGUACGAUGUAACCAACAACUUCACUUGCCCAGGGGCGCAUUUUGGCGUCAACCAUUAGUUCAACUUUUUGAGUUCAACUUUUUUUCGACGUUGACGGUAAAAUAGAUAUCAACGUUGCGGUUCAACUUUGCAGUUGAACUACGGAAAAGUAUAUGGGUUGACGAGAAAAUGAUAGUUGAUGUGUAUUUUCCCGCCAAGUGGUGUGCACAAUAUAAAUAAUCCGCGCCUAAUCCGCGCAAACUGUUUAUUCCCAUUUCCUAUUGUUUACGUCAUAAUCAAAAUCCGUGUAGUCCAAAAACACAUUAACUGCAGUUUUUACAAUAAUUGUUAUACAAUUCAGUAAUAAGCCUGUUUGUUUAAUAAUUGGUAAUACAUUUAAACAAUAUAUUAAUAUCCUUUGUAUGAAAACAGGUAAAAUGACAGACAGAAGAACAAU
rnacentral:lncRNA from 1 species